rnacentral:lncRNA from 1 species
CAGUGAUUGAGCACCUGGUGGGAAGGCAGAGCCAACCCAGGGGAGCUCAGGUGCAUUGCAUGCACCUGAGUGACCAUAAGGGGUAGAGCAAGGAUCCACCUCUUCCCAGACCUCGUUUAAGAGUUGGCAGUGGAGGCAAAUGAAUGUUACUGGGAAUCCCUGCCUACCUGAGGUCUUCAAGGGUGUUACACUGGCCCCCUAUGCAUUGCUGGUUUGUCUAUCAAGUAAGGAUUUUGUUGAGCAGACGCACAUAUAAAUUGUUAUGAGGUGCAGCUGUCCAUGUGCUGGUAGUGUAAACAGCUCUGCAGACAUCAAGGUCAAUGAAGAAGUAGGAAGAAUGGAGAUGAUCCUGGCACUGGAGCAGUUUCUUCUGCAGCAGGUGGAUGACACAACAUGGGAGAGGACACAACAUGGAGGACUGCAGCUCGUGGAGAAGAAUUACUUUGAAUCAAGGGAUGAAUGUGAGGAGAGAGGAGUGGUUUUUCCAGGAUUUCACAUUGUCAUCUCCUGGAUCUCAAUUUGUGAGAAGUUACACAUCUCUGCCGUAAGAAAUGUCUUCACAUACAGGUACAACAGGAGAAAAACAGUAGACCCUAACCAGACAAACAUCACUUAUUAGACUCUUUCAUUUUUUGUCAAAUGAAUGGUUGAGAACUAUAAUUUUUCUUCCUCUGAUCUAAAUAACAUUAGUAUCUUGAAUAAUCUGUGGCACGUCCUAAAUGUGUGGAACAGUGCAGUAGAUUUGUGUGUGUGUGUGUAUUAGAGGAGAAAUAAGAACUAGCUACUAUAAUUGUGAAUUGAGAGGAAACAUGAAUUUGUGAUGCAGUUCAUGAACAAUAGCUUCUUCCAAGCUAUCAUUCAAUAUUUGUUGUAUAUGAUUCAUUCUUGUAAUAGAAAGCUUAAUUUUCCCAAUGAAACCUGACAGUUUUCUUGGACUAGAUUCAAAGGUGAUAUAUCUGCUGAGAAUAUAAAUUGAUGUUUCUCUGGCAGUGUUACAUAUGACAUUUUCUGUUGAUCUGAGAAGAGAAGAUAGAAACAAGACCACAACUUUAUGAAAAGCCCAUAGAUUUUUUUGUAGAAAAUGAAAGAAAUUUCAGCCUGACCUUUGGUGGGAAAAGAGACACCACUUCAGAGCAUCUAGCCAAGUAAACAAACUGACACUUCUGCAAUAAUGUAUACACUUUGCAGUUUGAACAGUUGCUUGAUGUUUAAAUUGAUCAUAUGACAACAAAAUGUCAGGAUACUGUUCAUAGGCAUACAGAUGAUUCUGUACAAAAAAAUUAUUAGGAAUAUUUAAGAAUGCAAAGAAAUUCAGGAAGGGUAGAUGCCUAUUGUGCUUGCAUAUCAGAAAGCUGUUGAGCUGUUGCAUAUGUAGAUACCUGACGUGUAUAAAGCAAUAGGAUGUGAGUGGUUCAAAGAAAAAAAGCAAGUAGAAUCAUGUUAUCAUUAAAGAAAAGAAUUUUCAUUCUGCUGUUUAAUAAUUCUAAUUAUGUGCUUUAUUUCCCACUGAAAAUAAAAAGCAAGUACAGAAUGCAAUGCAAGAAAUAUAGGAUUCAGAUGAAGAAAAAAAGUUCAGUAACAUUUUUGCAGGUACAUUUCUGUGCUCAGUUUUGUUUGCCAUCGAUCUACCAUUUCCAUUACUGCUUAUCUAACUAAACCUA